UGAAAUGAAUUGCCUGCCUGCACAUGUUCUAUCUGAGCAUGGAAGCUCUUGACACAGUGAUCAGCCCAGCCAAGACUCUAAUCAACCUAAUUAAGAAGCAAUGGUAUGAGGGCAUGCAGAGCCUGAGUGGAAUGAACAUUUCUUUCUGAAAGGAGUGCCAAUGUAUGACUGUGAGAGAUGGACUUCAAAGAAAGAUAUGAGUCACAGAAUCAAUACUUUCAAUUUGUGGUGCUUCACAAACCUUUUCAGCCUCCCCUGGAUAUCAAGGAGAUCAAAUCAGUCAAAACCUAAAGAAAAGAUUUCAGAGUAUUCACCAGAAGGUCAAAUGCCAAUGUACAUUAUGAGAGGGCAGGAAUCAUUGGAAAAGACUCUGAUGUUGGGAAAGAUCAAAAGCAAAAGAAGAGGAGGAGACAGCUAUAUACUGUCAAGAAAGCAAUGAAAGUGAGUUUGGACAGACUUUGGGAGACAGUGGAAGAUAGAAGGGCCUGGGGUCUGUGGGCUCAUGAAUAAUCCUACAAGACUGAAGAAAUGAACAAUAUCCUGAAACUUAGAGUCUCUUAGUUUGCAUUGGGGAAACUGACAGUUCAAAUAACUUGCUGGGGAUCAGACAGAUACUGUGAGUCAGUGGCAUGAACAGAGCUCAAAUCUUUCUGAUUCUAUGGUCAGAUACUUAUCCAUGGUGUAAAACUACCUCUCAAUAGAAUGCUGUCAUAUGACUUCCUUUGAUGUUCAUAGUGAUGUAGAUGAAGCUUUAGUGAUCAUUGAUUUUGAUACUGUAGUCAUAAAUCAACCUGAGAUGGGAGGCCUUACUCUCUUACUGACUGUUGAUAGGAUUGACCAAGAAGGAAAAAAGAGGCUGCAUAACCCUCUUUAGAGUUUCCAAAGUUCAUUAAUAUAUUGCUGUUAUUUGUAACCCCAAGGAAACUCUUUGGUAAGAGCAGAGUACCUGGCAGAUUCUUGCACUGCUUCACUAAUUGUAUUCUCUUACAUAAGAUGCAUAUCACAUCACCAGAGUACUACUCAUCUGUACCUCAUCUGAACUGGUAAAGAUGGAAUGGCAGCUGAAGAAGGUAUUGGGGGAGCAUGGAAGAAAGAAGACAUUCAUUAAAGAGGUGUAGAGAACGCAAUGGGCACAGUCAAUUGGGCAUCCUUUAUUACAGUGGGACUAAUAUCAUUUGUCUGUUUGUAUAUCCUCCCUUGUGGUUUCAAGAUAAUAAGACAUUAAUCUGAAGCACACACACACACACAAGGACUACAUGCACAUAGAUCAAAAACAUUCUUUGAAUGGAUCCAUGAUUGCACAAAUGUGAGUAGCCUUAUAUGGACAUAUGCCAUAAUCCUUCCAAACUUUCUCAUACUUCAAGCUUGUCAUUGAAUUUAAAACCAUGGUGUUCCUAAUCUCAAAUUAUAUUUCUCUGUACUUUGGGUAUUUGGUAUUUAAUUAAUUGUAAUUGAUUAUGUCAUUAUUUUAUUAUGUAAUCAAUUAUAACCUUGGAUCUC